rnacentral:rRNA from 1 species
GACGAACGCUGGCGGCGUGCUUAACACAUGCAAGUCGAACGGUAAGGCCCUUCGGGGUACACGAGUGGCGAACGGGUGAGUAACAUGUGGGUGAUCUGCCCUGCACUUCGGGAUAAGCGUGGGAAACUGAGUCUUAUACCGUAUAGGACCCUGUGAUGCAGGUCCUGGGCUUGAAAGCUUUUGCGGUGUGGGAUGGGCCCGCGGCCUAUCGGCUGGUUGGUGGGGUGAUGGCGUACCAAGGCGACGACGGGUAGCCGGCUUGAGAGGGUGACCGGUCACACGGGGACUGAGAUACGGCCCAGACUCCUACGGGAGGCAGCAGUGGGGAAUAUUGCACAAUGGGCGCAAGCCUGAUGCAGCGUCACCGCGUGAGGGAUGACGGCCUUCGGGUUGUAAACCUCUUUCAGCACCGACGAAGCGAAAGUGACGGUAGGUGCAGAAGAAGGACCGGCCAACUACGUGCCAGCAGCCGCAGUAA